GCUAUACAUGCAGUCGAGGGGGCAGCAAUGUCACCGGCGCACGGGUGCGUAACACGUAUGUAACCUACCUUUUACUAGAGGAUAUACCAUAGAAAUGUGGGGCAAUACUCUAUAUGCAGACGCUUCGGCAUCGGAGAGUUUGGAAAGGCAACGGUAAGAGAUGGACAUGCGUCUGAUUAGCUAGUUGGUAAGGUAACGGCUUACCAAGGCGACGAUCAGUAACUGGUCUGAGAGGAUGAUCAGUCACACUGGCACUGAGACACGGGCCAGACUCCUACGGGAGGCAGCAGUAAGGAAUAUUGGUCAAUGGACGGAAGUCUGAACCAGCCACGCCGCGUGGAGGAAGAAGGUUCUCUGGAUUGUAAACUCCUUUUGCCGAGGGCUAAGAAACGGGUAUAUCCCGUCGUGAAAGUACUCGGUGAAUAAGCCACGGCUAACUACGUGCCAGCAGCCGCGGUAAUACGUAGGUGGCAAGCGUUGUCCGGGUUUACUGGGUUUAAAGGGUGCGUAGGCGGUUUUAUAAGUCAGUCGUUAAAGGCAGCAGCUUAACUGUUGUAAGGCGAUUGAUACUGUAGGACUUGAAUUAUUUCGAGGUUGUCGGAAUACGUAGUGUAGCGGUGAAAUGCUCAGAUAUUACGUAGAACGCCGAUUGCGAAGGCAGAUAACUAGGAAUAGAUUGACGCUGAGGCACGAAAGUGUGGGGAGCGAACAGGAUUAGAUACCCUGGUAGUCCACACUGUAAACGAUGAUAACUAGAUGUUCGGGGUUUACCCUGAGUGUUCAAGCGAAAGCGAUAAGUUAU
rnacentral:rRNA from 1 species